CUAUUUUUCUGUGAAAAAAAUCCCUCCCGUUCCCCCGAAUUAGUCCUGCGUGAUCCCUUUUUCUGCGCCGUCCUGCGCGGGUUCCCCGCUGGCGGCUGGCCGCACCUUACCACCCCCGUCCGGCCGUCCUCCGCCCAGGUAGACAGGAAGAAGCGAGGAGGGUCGUAUCCGACUGCGGCACAUGGAGAGGUGGACUAGGGGGACGCAUCUCCCGGCGAGCACGGGAAUACUACUAUGAUUCAGACAGGGUGACGGGCCGCCGCCGGCGCCGCCUGAGUACAGAGCCUACAUCGCCCACGGUCGGCGGUCAGUUUCAUGCCCAUCGCCACCGGCGACCUCUCGGGAAACGGGCAGACGGCGAGAGUUUAGGACACCACUAAAACCUGGGCUUCUCCUUAUCCACAUCCGGGCGGUUGGCUCUGCUUCUUCUCCACUUGCUGCUGCUGUUGGAGCACUGAACGCUUGGUCUUGGACAUCACAGCCACCCCACCAUUACCUUGGACGCUACUUCAAAUCCUGGCGGCACAAAAUUUUAGUGGAAACAUAAGGAAAUUUGCAAGCGGGGAUUAGAAGAAUUAUUUUGAACUGAAUGAAGAAUCUAUGCACCUUUUAGCGAACUUUUAUAUGCUUGCAUAGUUUUUGCUCUUCGACAAUGAACCUUGUAAAAUUUCAAAAAAUUCUUACUAAGUUAAUUAAGCUUCAUGUAUGACAGAUUUUCAUUGGGAAUAGGUACACUUUUGUCAAAGAAGUAUCAUGUCAGAUUUACCAUCUUGUAAAAUCAACUGUGAUGGGGCGUUCUCUGCACCUGAGGGCACUGGUGGUGGUGGCUGGGGCUUCGUCAUACACGACUUGCCGGGAGAUGUGAGAGGCUCUGGAGCGGGGCGCCUUCGACAUGUAGCAACACACCCCUUUAUUUUCUGAAACAUUGACGGGUGUGGCAACACACCCCUUUAUGUCCUAGUGUCUACUGUUAGGAAACUUCUUGCAAGUACUUUGGUUAGGUACUAGAAAGCAUGCGCGUGCACACACACACACACACAUGCCCACAGCAACAAGCACGCACAUACAACACAACACAGAUGCUCUGCUCCUGAUUUGUCAAUAGUAUGCUGAUGCUUUGCUUUGAUCUGCUCUAACACUAACUUUUUUGUCAAUAGUAAGGGAAGUCGAAGUUUCUGAUUGGUGAUGCUUUUGCUUCAGGAUACUUAAUUUCCUCGCAUUGACCUUUUAUUCAAAAGAAGGAUAAUCGAGUUGCAGCUGAAUUCUCCGGUUGGAUCAAGAAGCAAAUACAAUUAGAAAAUUUUACUUAGAAAUAACCGUAGUUUACAUUGAUAGAUGGAAACAAUGUAAUAUCAUGCAGAAGUUGUUUUUUAUUUGUUUGAAUUGUGCAAAUGCUAUGGUGUAAUAUUCUCCAUAGACAUGUUCACUGUAGUCAAAAUAUAUGAAUGAUAUUUUGCGGUACCAGUAAUAUUGGUAUUUGUUUAUUGUAAUGCA